AUUGAACGCUGGCGGCAGGCCUAACACAUGCAAGUCGAGCGGAUGAAGGGAGCUUGCUCCUGGAUUCAGCGGCGGACGGGUGAGUAAUGCCUAGGAAUCUGCCUGGUAGUGGGGGAUAACGUCCGGAAACGGGCGCUAAUACCGCAUACGUCCUGAGGGAGAAAGUGGGGGAUCUUCGGACCUCACGCUAUCAGAUGAGCCUAGGUCGGAUUAGCUAGUUGGUGGGGUAAAGGCCUACCAAGGCGACGAUCCGUAACUGGUCUGAGAGGAUGAUCAGUCACACUGGAACUGAGACACGGUCCAGACUCCUACGGGAGGCAGCAGUGGGGAAUAUUGGACAAUGGGCGAAAGCCUGAUCCAGCCAUGCCGCGUGGGUGAAGAAGGUCUUCGGAUUUGAAAGCACUUUAAGUUGGGAGGAAGGGCAGUAAGUUAAGACCGUGCUGUUUUGACGUUACCAACAGAAUAAGCACCGGCUAACUUCGUG
rnacentral:rRNA from 1 species